UUUCCCGUGGUGCAACAGGCAACACGACCGACCCUCCACGAGGGCACGGAUAAAUCCAGGUUCGAACCCUGGCGGGAGAGC
rnacentral:tRNA from 1 species